AUGAUAAACAUUAUGAAUAAAUAUUUUUUCUCAAAAUACUGUAAUACAAAAGUAAAUUUAUUUCAAAAAUAUUUUUUUAAAAAGAAGAAACUUAUGCGAAGAAGAAGUUACAACUCCAUUUUUUGCAACAUAUGCAAUGUUAUUUUUUUUUCGUUAAAUUCUUAUUUCAUAAAGAAAUACAUACUUUCAAAAAACGUUAAUAUAUUUUAUUUAGAAGAUAAAACAAAUGCUUAUUUGGAAAAAAAAUAUAAGACUAAGACUCCGUAUAUAAAAACAGAAAGUGGUAUACUCUAUAAGGACCUAAUAGAUGGAGAAGGAGACCCAAUAGAAGAAGGUGAUAUCGUAUAUAUCCAUUACCAAGGAAAAACAACAAAUGAUUUUCGAAUUAUCCAAUCAACAUUCAAAAGUAUUAUUCCACCUAAAAUUAAAGCUGGGUGUUAUGAUAGAAUGCAUAUACCAGCUAUUUACGAAAUGGUUAUUAAUAUGAAAAAACAUACGAGGAGACAAUGUAUUAUUCCUCCACAUAUGGGUUUACCCAAUCAUUUCCCUAAUCAACCCCUUCUUUACGAAAUAGACGUUGUCAGAAUAGUAAAAAAGAACGCACCACAAAAAACACUUUUGGAAAAAAUCAAAGCGCAAAUUGAAUAUUUGAAAAAUAUUAUUUUUACUUUCUUUUAAUUUAUUAUAUACGUCAAUGUAAAAAAUAUAUAUAUAUAUAUAUAUCUAUUAAGCAUCAUUUAUGUAUCUUUUGGUAUCAUUUGUUUUUAAUUUUUUUUUUUUUUUUUUUUUAUCACUAAAACAAUUACUUUAUACUGAGCACUUUCUUUCUUGUUUGUCUGCCUAUUUACCAUUUAGACUAUUAUUUCAACUUUUAUCAUUCAUCUUCCACCAAUUCAUUCAUUAUACUUGAUGCAAUGUGGUUUAACUUUUUUUUCUCUUCUACUUUUUUUACACAAUCACCAUUUACAACACCAUUUACAACACCAUUUACAACACCAUUUACAACACCAUUUACAACNNNNNNNNNNCCAUUUACAACACCAUUUACAACACCAUUUACAACACCAUUUACAACGCCAUUUUCAACACCAUUUACAACGCCAUUUUCAACACCAUUUACAACACCAUUUUCAACACCAUUUACAACACCAUUUACAACGCCAUUUUCAACGCCAUUUUCAACACCAUUUUCAACACCA
rnacentral:lncRNA from 1 species